GAUGAACGCUGGCGGCGUGCCUAAUACAUGCAAGUCGAGCGAACAGACGCGGAGCUUGCUCCUCUGACGUUAGCGGCGGACGGGUGAGUAACACGUGGAUAACCUACCUAUAAGUCUGGGAUCACUUCGGGAAACCGGAGCUAAUACCGGAUAAUAUAUUGAACCGCAUGGUUCAAUAGUGAAAGACGGUUUUGCUGUCACUUAUAGAUGGAUCCGCGCCGCAUUAGCUAGUUGGUAAGGUAACGGCUUACCAAGGCAACGAUGCGUAGCCGACCUGAGAGGGUGAUCGGCCACACUGGAACUGAGACACGGUCCAGACUCCUACGGGAGGCAGCAGUAGGGAAUCGUCCGCAAUGGGCGAAAGCCUGACGGAGCAACGCCGCGUGAGUGAUGAAGGUCUUCGGAUCGUAAAACUCUGUUAUUAGGGAAGAACAAAUGUGUAAGUAAAUAUGCACGUAUUGACGGUACCGAAUCAGAAAGCCACGGCUAACUACGUG
rnacentral:rRNA from 1 species